rnacentral:pre_miRNA from 1 species
UUUCUACUCCCUCCGUCCGAAAAUACUUGUCAUCAAAAUGGAUAAAAAGAGAUGUAUCUAAAACUAAAAUAUGUCUAGAUACAUUUCCUUUUAUCCAUUUUGAUGACAAGUAUUUCCGGACGGAGGGAGUAUUUC